UCGCCCAGCAACAUUAUUCGCCAGAGCACCCUCUGCAAUAGACUAAAACUCAAAGGACUUGGCGGUGCUUUAUAUCCCUCUAGAGGAGCCUGUCCUAUAAUCGAUAAACCCCGAUAAACCUCACCAACCCUUGCUAAUUCAGCCUAUAUACCGCCAUCCUCAGCAAACCCUAAAAAGGAACCAUAGUAAGCAUAAACAUGGUACAUAAAAACGUUAGGUCAAGGUGUAGCUCAUGAGUUGGAAAGAGAUGGGCUACAUUUUCUUACCAAAGAACACUCAAAUAACCACACGAACCCCUUCAUGAAAAGAGGGCCGAAGGUGGAUUUAAUACGAAUCCACUUGUUGAGAGCUUGGUUUAAUUUGGCCAUAAAGCACGCACAACACCGCCCCGUCACCCUCUGCAGUCAA
rnacentral:rRNA from 1 species